GGCCUUUGCUUUGAGUGCAUCCUGAUCUGGACACUGCGUUCUGUGACCUCAUCUCUCAUCUCCCUCCUGGGCUGCAGCCUGCACUCCACAGCCUUAUCAAGGACCGACCCUCCCUGCUGGCAAAGAAGGAAAGAAAAUAGAGUUAUUCUCAACU
rnacentral:lncRNA from 1 species